rnacentral:rRNA from 1 species
CCUACGGGAGGCAGCAGGGGGGAAUAUUGCGCAAUGGGCGAAAGCCUGACGCAGCGACGCCGCGUGAGGGAUGAAGGUCUUCGGAGCGUAAACCUCUGUCAGCAGGGAAGAACGGUCACGGGGCUAAGCAGCAGUGAAUUGACGGUACCGGCAAAGGAGGCACCGGCUAACUCCGUGCCCGCAGCCGCGGUAAUACGGAGGGUGCGCGCGUUAAGCGGAAUUACUGGGCGGAAAGCGCUCGUAGGCGGGAUGUCAAGUCAAGGGUGAAAUCCCCGCGCUCAACGUGGGAACUGCCUUUGAAUCUGUCAACCUGGAGUGUGUGAGAGGCUAGUGGACUUCCCGGUGU